UAAUACGGAGGAUGCAAGCGUUAUCCGGAUUUAUUGGGUUUAAAGGGUGCGUAGGCGGAUAAAUAAGUCAGUGGUGAAAGCCUGCAGCUUAACUGUAGAAUUGCCAUUGAUACUGUUUGUCUUGAGUACAGUUGAGGUGGGCGGAAUAUGGCAUGUAGCGGUGAAAUGCUUAGAUAUGCCAUAGAACACCGAUUGCGAAGGCAGCUCACUAAACUGUCACUGACGCUGAGGCACGAAAGCGUGGGUAGCAAACAGGAUUAGAUACCCUGGUAGUCCACGCCCUAAACUAUGAUCACUCGAUGUUGGCGAUACACUGUCAGCGUCUAAGCGAAAGCAUUAAGUGAUCCACCUGGGGAGUACGGUCGCAAGACUG
rnacentral:rRNA from 1 species